CCUACGGGUGGCAGCAGUGGGGAAUAUUGCACAAUGGGGGAAACCCUGAUGCAGCGACGCCGCGUGAGUGAAGAAGUAAUUCGUUAUGUAAAGCUCUAUCAGCAGGGAAGAAAAUGACGGUACCUGAGUAAGAAGCCCCGGCUAACUACGUGCCAGCAGCCGCGGUAAUACGGGGGAUGCAAGCGUUAUCCGGAUUUAUUGGGUUUAAAGGGUGCGUAGGCUGUGAGGUAAGUCAGCGGUGAAAUGCCCCCGCUCAACGGGGUGAAGUGCCAUUGAUACUGCCUUGCUGGAAUGCGGAUGCCGUGGGAGGAAUGUGUGGUGUAGCGGUGAAAUGCAUAGAUAUCACACAGAACACCGAUUGCGAAGGCAUCUCACGAAUCCGCGAUUGACGCUGAUGCACGAAAGCGUGGGUAUCAAACAGGAUUAGAUACCCGAGUAGUC
rnacentral:rRNA from 1 species